AAGCUGUUGAUUGUUUGCUUGAGCAGGAUUGAUGAGAAUGAUUCAGUAGCUAUGAUGAGGACUACUGAGGAAGCCUUGGAAGCACAGAAAAAUUGCAAAAACCAUCAUUUGAGAUAUCUGGAAAACUUGCUGCUGAAACCAAUAGAUUCAGGGGAAGAAGCUGACUUUUAGAGCAACUCUGAUGCCAAGCUUUUAUCAGAAGCCUCCGCCUCCUAAGGUGGUGCUAAAGAAGAGAAACUGACGCCUUGGGUGUAAUGAAGGAAGUUGAUCACAUUCCUGAUGAUCCUAAAUAUGCAGAAAGUAUAAAGGAAUUGGAGCAGGUCCUUCUAGGUUUUAUUGAAGCCAAAGGCAGUUGAAGGCUAAGAGCCAUUGAGAAUAUGAAUGUUUUUGGUUUAUGUAUAACUAGCUAGGAAUGCUCUUGUUUGGUACAUUAUCUCGUUACUUGAAUGUAUAGAUGUUUGAAUGAUAAUACUUGAAUU